rnacentral:lncRNA from 1 species
UGAAAUACUUCAAUCCUGUUUACUUAUUUGAUGAAGGAUCCACCAUCUCAUGGAUCCCAUGUGGAAGGAAGCUCACCUGUUCUUACCCUGGUAUCAAAUUCGCCUAUGGCCCUGAUUCUUACUUUGACAAUGAGGUAAAAUAAAAAAGUUCACAAUUCACAUCAUCUUCUAGUAGUUUUAAUUUUAAUAUUAUGUCCAUGAGUGCUUAUGAAUAAAUGGAUGAUUUUUUUUUUUUUUUUUACCUUUUAUGUUGCAGGUGUCUGUGUUGGAGAUGGAUGGGCAAUUUGACAGACUGGAUGAGCUGAUCUAUGUUGAGAGCCAUUUGAGCAACAUCUCCACCAAAUUCUAUGGAGAAAUCACCCAACAAAUGUUGAAGCAUUCAGACUUCCCAGGAAGCAACAAUGGCACUGGUUUAUUCCAAACCAUUGUUGGUUUGAAAAUUCGUGAUCUUUUUGAACAACUCACAGCUGCCAAGGCCUCAGCUCCAUUGGAAGCUACAAAAGCUUAAAGUAAAACAAACAAAACAACAAAAAU